GACGAACGCUGGCGGCGUGCUUAACACAUGCAAGUCGAACGGUAAGGCCCUUCGGGGUACACGAGUGGUGAACGAGUGAGUAACACGUGGGUGAUCUGCCCUGCACUUAGCGAUCAGCCUGGGAAACUGGGUCGAAUACCGGAUAGGACUCCUGGCUUCCUGGUUGAGGUUGUAAUGCUAUUGCGGUGUGGGAUGGGCCCGCGGCCUAUCAGCUUGUUGGUGGGGUAAUGGUCUACCAAGGCGACGACGGGUAGCCGGCCUGAGAGGGUGACCGGUCACACUGGGACUGAGAUACGUCCCAGACUCCUACGGGAGGCAGCAGUGGGGAAUAUUGCACAAUGGGCGCAAGCCUGAUGCAGCGACGCCGCGUGAGGGAUGACGGCCUUCGGGUUGUAAACCUCUUUCAGCUAUGACGAAGCGCAAGUGACGGUAGUAGCAGAAGAAGGACCGGCCAACUACGUGCCAGCAGCCGCCGUAA
rnacentral:rRNA from 1 species